AGUGAACGCUGGCGGCGUGCCUAAUACAUGCAAGUCGAACGAAGUGGCGCACGGGUGAGUAAUAUAUAGUUAAUCUGCCCUACACAGAGGAACAACAGCUGGAAACGACUGCUAAUACCUCAUAGUGUAGGAUGAGACUAUAUCGUAUCAGCUAGUUGGUAAGGUAAUGGCUUACCAAGGCUAUGACGCGUAACUGGUCCGAGAGGAUGAUCAGUCACAUUGGAAAUGAGCAACGGUGGAAGCUGCUACGGGAGGCGGCAGAAAGGAAUAAUGCGGAAGGGGGGACGCCCUGAGGGGGCUGCGGGGCGUGGAGGAUGAAACUUUUCGGGGCAUAGACUACUUUUAUCAGGAUAGCGGUACCUGGUGAAGAAGCACCGGCUAACUCCGUGCCAGCAGCCGCGGUAAUUC
rnacentral:rRNA from 1 species